GAAAAGAACCGGGUGGAGGCAGGAGCCCUGCUCCAAGCUAAGGCGGAGGUGGCCCACAUGUCCCAGACCCAGGAGGAGAAGCUGGCAGCUGCCCUCAGGGUGGAGUUACACAACACUUCGUGCCAAGUCCAGAGCCUCCAGGCUGAGACAGAAUCCUUACGUGCCCUGAAACGAGGCCUGGAGAACACCUUGCACGAUGCCAAGCACUGGCAUGACAUGGAGCUCCAGAACCUGGGCGCUGUGGUCGGCCGGCUGGAGGCGGAGCUCAGCGAAAUCCGCGCGGAGGCGGAGCAGCAGCAACAGGAGCGCGCACAUCUGCUGGCCCGCAAGUGCCAGCUGCAGAAGGACGUGGCGUCCUACCACGCCCUGCUGGACAGGGAGGAGAGCGGCUGAUGGAGAAACUCUUCCUCUUUUCAUGAAGAAAACACCCUUCCUCACCAGCUGACCCAUGAAGUUGCUUGAGGAGCUUUCUCCUGAGCUCCAGUCCCUGCUGGAUUCCCUGGUUAAUUCAGCUUGAGCUGAAAAGCUUCCUGGAAGUGGAGAGGAUCCUUCUGCUUUAAUCUGAGUAGUCUGUAGCUUGAGCAAUCUCUCUUGUCCUCCUUCAAAUAAAUGCUUUGUGCGCAGCGUCCAGUUUGCCCACCUUG
rnacentral:sRNA from 1 species